rnacentral:rRNA from 1 species
CGAACGCGUGUAGCAAUACACGAGUGGCGCACGGGUGAGUAACGCGUGGAUAUCUGCCUUUUGGUUCGGAAUAACUCCGGGAAACUGGAGCUAAUACCGGAUGGUUCCUACGGGAUAAAGAUUUAUCGCCAAAAGAUGAGUCCGCGUACGAUUAGCUAGUUGGUGAGGUAAUGGCUCACCAAGGCGACGAUCGUUAGCUGGUCUGAGAGGACGAUCAGCCACACUGGGACUGAGACACGGCCCAGACUCC